GAGUUUGAUCCUGGCUCAGAAUGAACGUUGGCGGCGUGGAUUAGGCAUGCAAGUCGUGCGAGAAAUCUCCUUCGGGAGAUGGACAGCGGCGCAAGGGAGAGUAACGCGUGGAUAUCUGCCCUCAGGACCGGGAUAGCAGCGGGAAACUGCUGGUGAUACCGGAUAAUGUCUCCGGAUCAAAUGGUGUGAUUCCGCCUGGGGAUGAGUCCGCGUCCUAUUAGCUUGUUGGUGGGGUAACGGCCUACCGAGGCGAAGAUGGGUACCGGGUGUGAGAGCAUGGCCCGGCUCACUGGGACUGAGACACUGCCCAGACACCUACGGGUGGCUGCAGUCGAGAAUCUUCGGCAAUGGGCGCAAGCCUGACCGAGCGACGCCGCGUGCGGGAUGAAGGCCUUCGGGUUGUAAACCGCUGUCAGAGGGAAGGAAAUGGCGAGGGGUUCUCUCCCGUCUUGACCGAUCCUCAGAGGAAGUACGGGCUAAGUUCGUGCCAGCAGCCGCGGUAACACGAACCGUACAAACGUUAUUCGGAAUUACUGGGCUUAAAGAGUGCGUAGCGGCCUAGCAGUGAGGUGUGAAAUCCCUCGGCUCAACCGAGGAAUUGCGCUUCAAACCG
rnacentral:rRNA from 1 species